UACAAUUCCGUUUGUAGCCGAUAGAUGG
rnacentral:sRNA from 1 species